AUAUGUAUGUAUGUAUGUAUGUAUGUAUGUGUAUGUGUGUGUGUGUAUGUAUAUAUAUAUACACACACAUACACAUACAU
rnacentral:miRNA from 11 species